rnacentral:rRNA from 1 species
UACGGGGGGGGGCAAGCGUUUGUUCGGAAUUACUGGGCGUAAAGGGCUCGUAGGCGGCCAACUAAGUCGAACGUGAAAUCCCCGGGCUCAACCCGGGAACUGCGUCCGAUACUGGGAGGCUUGAAUCCGGGAGAGGGAUGUGGAAUUCCGGGUGUAGCGGUGAAAUGCGUAGAGAUGUGGAGGAACACCAGUGGCGAAGGCGACUCUUUGGCCUGUAACUGACGCUGAGGAGCGAAAGCUAGGGGAGCAAACGGG